rnacentral:rRNA from 1 species
AUGAACGCUAGCGGGAGGCCUAACACAUGCAAGCCGAGCGGUAUAAUUCUUUCGGGAAUUAGAGAGCGGCGCACGGGUGCGGAACACGUGUGCAACCUGCCUUUAUCUGGGGGAUAGCCUUCCGAAAGGGAGAUUAAUACCCCUUAAUAUAUUGACUGGCAUCAGUUAAUAUUGAAAACUCCGGUGGAUAGAGAUGGGCACGCGCAAGAUUAGAUAGUUGGUGAGGUAACGGCUCACCAAGUCAGUGAUCUUUAGGGGGCCUGAGAGGGUGAUCCCCCACACUGGUACUGAGACACGGACCAGAGUCCUACGGGAGGCAGCAGUGAGGAAUAUUGGACAAUGGGUGAGAGCCUGAUCCAGCCAUCCCGCGUGAAGGACGACGGCCCUAUGGGUUGUAAACUUCUUUUGUACAGGGAUAAACCUAGAUACGUGUAUCUAGCUGAAGGUACUGUACGAAUAAGCACCGGCUAACUCCGUGCCAGCCGCCGCCGUAACAC